UACCAGCACCCCGAGUGGUCGGGACGAUUAUUGGGCCUAAAGCAUCCGUAGCCGGCCUUACAAGUCCUCCGUUAAAUCCAGCUGCUUAACAGAUGGGCUGCGGAGGAUACUAUAAGACUAGGAGGCAGGAGAGGCAAGCGGUACUCAGUGGGUAGGGGUAAAAUCCGUUGAUCCAUUGAAGACCACCAGUGGCGAAGGCGGCUUGCCAGAAUGCGCUCGACGGUGAGGGAUGAAAGCGUGGGGAGCAAACAGG
rnacentral:rRNA from 1 species